AACGUGUUACAUUUUGCAAUAAAUGUAAAUGAAACGUGUGCGGACGUUGUCUGACAACGACGACGUCGAUAAAUUUUAAGCGUCGCGCGUCGAUGGACGGCCUAUCUUAUCGAUAGCCGACCGGAGUGCGUCGCUACAAACAGAGCUCGACAGGGCACAUCGCCGUUUUCUUUCGCGUCUCCGUACGACGAUCGAUCUACGACGAUAAAGUGCCCGUCGCUCGACCGUGUUACCCUACGGGUUACCUCGACAGGGCGCCUCGCCGUUUUCUUUCGCGUCUCCGGACGACGAUCGAUCUACGACGAUAUAGUGCCCGUCGCUCGACCGUGUUAACCCACGGGGUUCAAAACGCAAUUUAGCGAUGAUUGAGUUCGAUGCGACGAUUAGGUCUCGACCACGGCGCUCGAUACUCUGUGUGUGAGACAUCUGCUAUAUAAAAUACCUGCUCCGUAUCAUCCGAUGCGUGAGCGAAUUUUGAAGGCAUCGCUUGAUGGCGUCCUUUUUAACACUGACGAAUGCGGUGUUUGAAUCGAAUUUGUCGUUCCAUCGACGAUUCUUUUCAUGUUAAUCGCACUCGCAUUCCAGUCAGCUCGAUCACGCACUUCGUGCGAUCGUGCGAAUGACGGGCGCUCGCGUAACUGCGUCGCUCUAGAUUACGGAAUAUUGCGCCAAGACGACAGUUCAUUGGAAAGUUGUCGAAUCGCAUUUUCCACUAUCACACAAAAUCAAUACCGUUUUGAUAAAGACCGAAAGCGUAAAGCUCGAGGUGUACGAAUUGUAACUUGAAACAUAUACCAAUUUUCGAUAAACGACCCCCAUCGGUGACGUUGGCGUGCAGUCGAUCGAAAGCCGGUAAGAUUUAUAUAUAUAAUCACCCUGACC
rnacentral:misc_RNA from 1 species